UGCAGCAUAUGAUGAUGAGUUUUAUGGAGUAAAUGAACCUGUUACUGCCCAACCUGAACCCUUAAAGUUUCAGACUGAGGGACUUCAAAACUCUGAAACAUUUCUUCGUCGCUCUCAAAGAGUACACACAAAGCCAAACAGAUUAGAGUAUCCAAAACUGGGAAAUCCUCUGAUGAUGGUGGUGAAUUCUCUUUUCCAGGGUCUAAGUGAAGCAUUGGCUAGCUCCCUGAAUGGCUUGGAGAAUGCAUCCCAUAAUUCCAUCAGGCAUGCUUAAGCUGUGCGACUCAGUGUCGUAUUGCAGAUGCCCAGGGACGGGCAUACCCUUCAGAGGGGAGGGUGUAACCCACAUAAAGUGGGGAUAGCCUUUUGGGAAAUAGAGAUUGGGUAGGCGGGGUAGUCUGCCUGGCCAAUGGGAAGUUUGAUUCCCAUGAAUGUUUAGACCAAUCAGAGAGCGGAAUGCCACAGAGGCUCCACCUUCUUUCCCGUGCUGGCAGCGUUGAUUGUGAGCGGGAGAUCCGACCCUGAUCAGACAGCUGAGCCAGAAACCACUAAGAUCAGUUGGAACUGUUGCACUUUCUGGCAGUUGAUUGGCAGUUGUUUUCAGUUCAACUGAAGUGCCCUCCGUGUCUGGAAUGAGAGUCCCUGUCUAGUUGUUUUGAACGUGCUGCACUGAGAUCGGUGAG